AGGGAUAAGGGGUGCCACCAUCAGGUGGCCGCAGAGAAUAGGCCCAAGCGACUGUUUACCAAAAACAUAGGUUUCUGCUAAGUCGCAAGACGAUGUAUAGGAGCUGACGCCUGCCCGGUGCUGGAAGGUUAAGGGGAUCUGUUAGAGCAAUCGAAGCAGUGAACUUAAGCCCCAGUAAACGGCGGCCGUAACUAUAACGGUCCUAAGGUAGCGAAAUUCCUUGUCGGGUAAGUUCCGACCCGCACGAAAGGCGUAACGAUUUGGGCACUGUCUCAACAACAGACUCGGUGAAAUUGUAAUUCCGGUGAAGAUGCCGGAUACCUGCGACAGGACGGAAAGACCCCAUGGAGCUUUACUGUAGCUUGACAUUGGGUCUUGGUACUACAUGUACAGGAUAGGUGGGAGGCUUUGAAACCAGGACGCCAGUUUUGGCGGAGCCAUCCUUGGGAUACCACCCUUGUAGUACUGGGACUCUAACCAUAGGCCAUGAAUCUGGUCUUGGGACACUGUCAGGUGGGCAGUUUGACUGGGGCGGUCGCCUCCCAAAAGGUAACGGAGGCGCUCAAAGGUUCUCUCAGUACGGUCGGAAAUCGUACGUAGAGUGUAAAGGCAAAAGAGAGCUUGAUUGCAAGACAUACAGGUCGAGCAAGGAUGAAAAUCGGACUUAGUGAUCCGGUGGUUCUGCGUGGAAGGGCCAUCGCUCAACGGAUAAAAGCUACCCUGGGGAUAACAGGCUUAUCUCCCCCAAGAGUCCACA
rnacentral:rRNA from 1 species